rnacentral:rRNA from 1 species
GAGUUUGAUUAUGGCUCAGGAUGAACGCUAGCGGCAGGCCUAACACAUGCAAGUCGAGGGGUAGAGUGCUUCGGCACUUGAGACCGGCGUACGGGUGCGUAACGCGUGUACAAUCUACCUUUUGCUAAGGGAUAGCCCGAAGAAAUUUGGAUUAAUACCUUAUAGUAUUAUUUAGUGGCAUCAUUAGAUAAUUAAAGCUACGGUGGCAAAAGAUGAGUACGCGUCCCAUUAGCUAGUUGGAGUGGUAACGGCACACCAAGGCUACGAUGGGUAGGGGUUCUGAGAGGGAUGUCCCCCACACUGGUACUGAGACACGGACCAGACUCCUACGGGAGGCAGCAGUGAGGAAUAUUGGACAAUGGUCGGAAGACUGAUCCAGCCAUGCCGCGUGCAGGAUGACGGCCUUAUGGGUUGUAAACUGCUUUUGUAUGGGAAGAAUAAGGUCUACGUGUAGA